rnacentral:lncRNA from 1 species
AGGAGCCCAGCUGGCUUCACCCAGUGGAUCCCCCACAGGGCUGCAGGUGGAGCUGCCUGCCAGUUCCCGGCCGUGUGCCCGCACUCCUCAGCGCUUGGGUGUCGAUGGGACUGGGCCCAUGGAGUAGGGGGCGGCGCUCGUCUGGGAGGCUCGGGCCACACAGGAGCCCACGGAGGUUGGGGGAGGCUCAGGCAUGGCGGGCUGCAGGUCCCGAGCCCUGCCGUGCAGGAAGGCAGUUAAGGCCCCGCGAGAAAUUGAGCACAGCAGCUGCUGGCUGAGGUGCUAAGCCCCUCACUGCCUGAGGCCAGUGGGGCCGGCCAGCUGCUCCGAGUGCGGGGUCCGCCGAGCCCACGCCCAUCCGGAACUCGCGCUGGCCUGCAAGCACCGCGCGCAGCCCUGGUUCCCGCCCGCGCCUCUCCCUCCACACCUCCCUGUAAGCUGAAGGAGCCCGCUCCGGCCUUGGCCAGCACAGAAAGGGGCUCCCACAGUGCAGCCUCGAGCUGAAGGGCUCAUCAAGUGCCGCCAAAGUGGGAGCCCAGGCAGGGGAGGCGCCGAGAGCCAGUGAGGACUGCCAGCACCGCUGUCACCUCUCAGAAAUGCUGGGAAGAAUAUGAGAGAUCCGGAAGGGAACAGAAGACAAGGAAUGUGGGCACCCUCUAGAAGUUGCAGAAGCCAGAGAAACAGACUCUCCCCUGGAAUGUUCAGAAAGUGUACAAUCCUGCCAAGACCUCGGUCAUAGCUCAGUGAAACCCAUUUUGAAAUUCGGACCACCAGAACUGUGCUACACAUGAAACUUGUAACCAGUUACUACAGGCGAAAGCAAAUCCAUGUCUUCAGGCUGGUGUCAUCAGGGAGAGAAGCUUUGGUUUCCACAUAAGGAUAUAAGAUCAUUGAUGUAAAACAAGACAUGUAACCUCUCAAAUUGAGAGAAUGGAUUGGAGAGAUAUUGUUGACCAUGUUUUCCCCUGUAUCUCACCUUCCCCUCUCCAAGACUUCCUUGUCAGUUACCCAUAUUGAUAUCAGUUUAUCCACAUCCAUGCUUUCAAGUUUAAACAAAGAAACUAGGCAAAGGCAGCUAUGUAUUCGCUAGGAUUAGGGAGGAGAAGAUAAUGAACCACUGGAUAGUGAGAAGAAAGAGAGGUGGAGAAAGUGAGAGACCCCAGUAACAGAGGACAGGGACACAUUGCUAAGGAUAGGGACACAUUCACUGUAAUAUAGAAGGCCAUGCUUAUAUGUAAAAUAUGCAGUAAUUGUAUAUAUAUGUACAAAAGUGAUGACACACAUAUGCACAUAAACAAAACACAAUUACUGUCUAUGUUUCUUUAUUUGUGACCUAAUGUUUUAUGUUGUUUGUAACUGAAAAAAAAAUUCCCUUCUGAAUAAAAUGUCAAUUUUGCGAUUGCAUUUUUUCUUGUUUUUACUGUAAUAUUUCAAUUAUUUGUAUAUAUAUAUUUUUGAGACAGGAUUUCACUCUGUU